CACACAGGCACAAUUCUCGAUACUUUUUAGCAUUGGCGUGACGACUCGGGUUGGAUUUACGUGUUGCUAUCAUAUAUAUAUCGCAUUCAAACGAUUAUUUUGUCAAAUAAAAAUUCCAUAUGCAUGUUGAGGAGAACGCUCUUGGCAGAAUCUACCCAGCUCCAUUGGUAUCCAUGGGAAUGCCGUCUGGACUGAUGCAAGGAUCGGACACCACGGACACAGACCCCUGGCUUUGGGAGCCGAGGUGUAGGAGGGGCAAGGGUCGCACUGCGUGGAAGGAACUGCAGAUGCUGGUUUAAACCGAAGAUAGACA